rnacentral:rRNA from 4 species
GUGAAAUUGAACUCGCUGUGAAGAUGCAGUGUACCCGCGGCAAGACGGAAAGACCCCGUGAACCUUUACUAUAGCUUGACACUGAACAUUGAGCCUUGAUGUGUAGGAUAGGUGGGAGGCUUUGAAGCGUGGACGCCAGUCUGCGUGGAGCCGACCUUGAAAUACCACCCUUUAAUGUUUGAUGUUCUAACGUGGACCCGUGAUCCGGGUUGCGGACAGUGUCUGGUGGGUAGUUUGACUGGGGCGGUCUCCUCCUAAAGAGUAACGGAGGA